UUGACAGAUUGAGAGCUCUUUCUCUGAUUCUGUGGGUGGUGGUGCAUGGCCGUUCUUAGUUGGUGGAGUGAUUUGUCUGGUUAAUUCCGAUAACGAACGAGACUCUGGCCUACUAAAUUUGCCACUGAUCUCCUCAUGAUGAGCUGCCCAUGUCUGCGUCUACCUAGAUGGUUAAUCGGAUGACCCGGCAAUUACUAGAACGCUAGCAGAUUUGAGGUCUGUGCAUGCCCAUGAUGCCCA
rnacentral:rRNA from 1 species